UACGUAGGUGGCAAGCGUUGUCCGGAAUCACUGGGCGUAAAGCGCGCGCAGGCGGCGAUCUACGUCUGGGGUGAAAGCCCGGAGCUCAACUCCGGGACUGCCUUGGAUACGGGGUCGCUUGAGGAUUGGAGAGGCAAGGGGAAUUCCACGUGUAGCGGUGAAAUGCGUAGAGAUGUGGAGGAACACCUGUGGCGAAGGCGCCUUGCUGGCCAAUUACUGACGCUGAGGCGCGAAAGCGUGGGGAGCAAACAGG
rnacentral:rRNA from 1 species